rnacentral:rRNA from 1 species
AUGGCAGCACCGCCGCCGGCGCUCCCAGGGGAGCUUGUCGAAGAGAUCCUCCUCCGCCUCCUACCCGAAGACCCCGCCUGCCUCCUCCGCGCCUCCCUCGUCUGCAAGGACCGGGGCAACAGCGUCUCCGGCCCCGGCUUCCGCCGCCGCCUCCACGAGCUCCACGGGGCACCCUCCGUGCUCGGCCUCCUCCAUGGCAAGCCCAGCCAGCGCUUCAUCCCCACCACCGCCUCUCCCUUCUUCCUCGCCACCCCGGAUCACCGCUCCAGGCGGUCCCUCGACUGCCGCCACGGCCGUGCCCUCUUCCUCCAGGACGCCAAGGAACUCCUCGUGUGGGAGCCAAUCACGGGCUCCCAGUGGCGUGUACCUCUGCCUGCGGCGUUCAAGCGCAGCUACUCAACUGCAGCCGUGUUCCGCGCGGCGGAUGGGUGCGACCAUCGCGACUGCCUC